GCCGCCGUGGUGGAACUGGUAGACACGCACGACUCAAAAUCGUGUGAGGGUAACCUCAUGUCGGUUCGACUCCGACCGGCGGCA
rnacentral:tRNA from 1 species